GCUGGAUGUGGUGGCUCACACCUGUAAUCCCAGCUACUCAGGAGGCUGAGGCAGGAGAAUCGCCUGAACCUGGGAGUUGGAGGUUGCAGUGAGCCAAGAUUGUGCCACUGCACUCCAGCCUGGGUGACAGAGCGAGACCCUGUCUCAA
rnacentral:SRP_RNA from 2 species